rnacentral:rRNA from 1 species
GGGUUGUGAGGUUAAGCGACUAAGCGUACACGGUGGAUGCCCUGGCAGUCAGAGGCGAUGAAGGACGUGCUAAUCUGCGAAAAGCGUCGGUAAGGUGAUAUGAACCGUUACAGCCGGCGAUGUCCGAAUGGGGAAACCCAGUGCAAUUCGUUGCACUAUCGUUAACUGAAUACAUAGGUUAACGAAGCGAACCGGGGGAACUGAAACAUCUAAGUACCCCGAGGAAAAGAAAUCAACC